GCUCUUUUGUCAGGGAAGAAACACCGGCUCUAACACAGUCCGGGAAUGACGGUACCUGAAGAAUAAGCACCGGCUAACUACGUGCCAGCAGCCGCGGUAAUACGUAAGGUGCGAGCGUUAAUCGGAAUUACUGGGCGUAAAGCGUGCGCAGGCGGUUAUACAAGACAGGCGUGAAAUCCCCGGGCUUAACCUGGGAAUGGCGCCUGUGACUGUAUAGCUAGAGUGUGUCAGAGGGGGGUAGAAUUCCACGUGUAACAAUGAAAUGCGUAGAUAUGUGGAGGAAUACCAAUGGCGAAGGCAGCCCCCUGGGAUAACACUGACGCUCAUGCAC
rnacentral:rRNA from 1 species